GGGGAACCAGGACUUUUACUUUGAAAAAAUUAGAGUGUUCAAAGCAGGCCUUUGCUCGAAUACAUUAGCAUGGAAUAAUGGAAUAGGACGGCGCUCCUAUUUUGUUGGUUUCUAGGAGAGCCGUAAUGAUUAAUAGGGACAGUUGGGGGCAUCCGUAUUCAGUUGUCAGAGGUGAAAUUCUUGGAUUUACUGAAGACGAACUACUGCGAAAGCAUUUGCCAAAGAUGUUUUCAUUAAUCAGUGAACGAAAGUUAGGGGAUCGGAGACGAUCAGAUACCGUCGUAGUCUUAACCAUAAACCAUGCCGACUAGGGAUCGGGCGAUGUUAGUUUAUUGACUCGCUCGGCACCUUUCGAGAAAUCAAAGUGUUUGGGUUCUGGGGGGAGUAUGGUCGCAAGGCUGAAACUUAAAGAAAUUGACGGAAGGGCACCACCAGGAGUGGAGCCUGCGGCUUAAUUUGACUCAACACGGGGAAACUCACCAGGUCCAGAUACACGUAGGAUUGACAGAUUGAGAGCUCUUUCUUGAUUGUGUAGUUGGUGGUGCAUGGCCGUUCUUAGUUGGUGGAGUGAUUUGUCUGCUUAAUUGCGAUAACGAACGAGACCU
rnacentral:rRNA from 1 species